CAUUGUUUAAAUAAUAUAUGAGUAUGUACUUUGUUAAAUAUUUUAAUUGAGAGGAUUCACUCUAAUCUCUCUCUAUUAUAGUUCAGUUUAUCAGAAGAGACCAGAAGCAGAGUCUAGCUGUGUGUCCAUGAGGAGUCGUUGGUCUAUGGGUCAUCCAAUAGUGUUUUUGGGGGAAGUCGUGGCCUAGUGGUUAGAUAGUUUGACUCCUAACCCUAAGGUUGUGGGUUUGAGUCUCGGGCCGGCAAUACCACGACUGAGGUGCCCUUGAGCAAGGCACCGAACCCCCAACUGCUCCCCGGGUGCUGCAGCAUAAAUGGCUGCCCACUGCUCUGGGUAAGUGUUCACUGCUGUGUGUGUGCACUUUGGAUGGGUUAAAUGCAGAGCACGAAUUCUGAGUAUGGGUCACCAUACUUGGCUGUAUGUCACUUCACUUUCACUUUCACUUUUCACUUUUAAGAGUACAGAUACAAAGAUUGAUCUCAGGCAUGAAGUCCUCAGCAGGUUUAGAUCAAAUCUGCUGAAGAAGUUUGAGCGUCUGUAUGAGGGCACAGCGACGCAGAGAAACCCAACACUCCUGAAUGAGAUCUACACAGAGCUCUACAUCACAGAGAGUGAGAGUGGAGAGAUCAGUAAUGAGCAUGAGGUGAGACAGAUUUAGACAAAAUCCAGGAGAGCAGCAACAGAGGACACAGCCAUCAAAUGCAACAACACCUUUAGACCUUUACCUGGACAAGAUAAAGCCAUCAGAACUGUGCUGACAAAGGGAGUUGCUGGCAAUGGAAAAACAGUCUCUGUGCAGUAGUUCAUCUUGGACUGGGCUGAAGGGAAAGAGAAUCAGGACAUCCAGCUCAUAUUUCCACUUCCUUUCAGAGAAAUCAACUUGAUGAAGGACAAAACAAUCAAACUUUCAGAUCUUCUUCAUAUCUUUUUUCCUGAAACUAAAGAAAUGGAAAUAUCCAGAGAUGAAUAUAAAGUGUUGUUCAUAUUUGAUGGUCUGGAUGAGUGUCGUCUGUCUCUGGACUUUAAGAGUAAAGUGAAACUGUGUAAUAUAUCUGAAUCAGCCUCAGUGGACGAGCUGCUGAUGAACCUCAUUGAGAGAUUCCCAAGACUCUCACUCAAAUGUACACACACUUCCUGAUCCUUCAGACCAACAUCAAACUUGAGAAGGACUAUGAGAAGAAGGUGACAGAUGAAGACAUGAUCCUCAAACUGGGGAAAGUCGCUUUUCAGCAGCUAUAUAUAUAUAUAUAUAUUUGAUAGGUUAAUGAGGAACCACUAAUAUAUAAUAAAUAAGGUAAUAUAUUAUUCUAAUAUGAUUAU
ensembl:lncRNA